rnacentral:rRNA from 1 species
AUUGAACGCUGGCGGCAGGCUUAACACAUGCAAGUCGAACGGGCGUAGCAAUACGUCAGUGGCAGACGGGUGAGUAACACGUGGGAACCUUCCUAGGGGUACGGAACAACUCAGGGAAACUUGAGCUAAUACCGUAUACGUCCGUGAGGAGAAAGAUUUAUCGCCCUUAGACGGGCCCGCGUCGGAUUAGCUAGUUGGUGGGGUAACGGCCUACCAAGGCGACGAUCCGUAGCUGAUCUUAGAGGAUGAUCAGCCACACUGGGACUGAGACACGGCCCAGACUCCUACGGGAGGCAGCAGUGGGGAAUCUUGGACAAUGGGCGCAAGCUUGAUCCAGUCAUGCCGCGUGAGUGAAGAAGGCCUUAGGGUUGUAAAGCUCUUUUGGCAGGGACGAUAAUGACGGUACCUGCAGAAUAAGCCCCGGCAAACUUCGUGCCAGCCGCCGCCGUAA